rnacentral:rRNA from 1 species
UGCAAGCGUUGUCCGGAAUUAUUGGGCGUAAAGAGCUCGUAGGCGGUCUGUCGCGUCGGAUGUGAAAAUCCAGGGCUCAACCCUGGACCUGCAUUCGAUACGGGCAGGCUAGAAUUCGGUAGGGGAGACUGGAAUUCCUGGUGUAGCGGUGAAAUGCGCAGAUAUCAGGAGGAACACCGGUGGCGAAGGCGGGUCUCUGGGCCGAUAUUGACGCUGAGGAGCGAAAGCGUGGGGAGCGAACAGG